rnacentral:rRNA from 1 species
UUGUUCCUACGGGACGCAGCAGUGGGGAAUAUUGCACAAUGGGGGGAACCCUGAUGCAGCGACGCCGCGUGAGUGAAGAAGUAUUUCGGUAUGUAAAGCUCUGUCAGCAGGGAAGAAGAAAGACGGUACCUGACCAAGAAGCCCCGGCUAACUACGUGCCAGCAGCCGCGGUAAUACGUAGGGGGCAAGCGUUAUCCGGAUUUACUGGGUGUAAAGGGUGCGCUGGCGGCUCUGCAAGUCAGGCGUGAAAGCUAGGUGCUCAACCCCUAAACUGC